GACGAACGCUGGCGGCGUGCUUAACACAUGCAAGUCGAGCGGAAAGGCCAUGCUUUUGUGGGUCGCUCGUGUGCGGAACGCGUGAGUGUCACGUGAGUAUACUCCACCUGACUUUGGGAUAAAUUCAGGAAACUGGGGCUCAUACCGGAUAGGAGCUCCUGCUGCGUGGGGGGGGUUGGAAAGUUUCGGCGGUUUGGGAUGGACUGGCGGGUUAUCGGCUGGUUUGGGUGGUAGUGGCUUACCAGGGCUUUGACGGGUAGCCGGCCUGGGAGCGGGACCGGCCUCAUGGGGACUGCGAUACGGACCAGACUCGUACGGGCCGCAGCGGUGGGGAAUAUUGCACAAUGGGGCGAAGCCUGAUGCAGCAACGCCGCGUGCGGGAUGCUGUCCUUCGGGUUGUAAACCACUUUGUCCGGUACCGAACAGUGAGUGACGGUACUGGGUAAAGAAGCACCGGCUAACUACGUG
rnacentral:rRNA from 1 species